GACGAACGCUGGCGGCGUGCUUAACACAUGCAAGUCGAACGGAAAGGCCCUGCUUUUGUGGGGUGCUCGAGUGGCGAACGGGUGAGUAACACGUGAGUAACCUGCCCUUGACUUUGGGAUAACUUCAGGAAACUGGGGCUAAUACCGGAUAGGAGCUCCUGCUGCAUGGUGGGGGUUGGAAAGUUUCGGCGGUUGGGGAUGGACUCGCGGCCUAUCAGCUUGUUGGUGGGGUAGUGGCUUACCAAGGCUUUGACGGGUAGCCGGCCUGAGAGGGUGACCGGCGACAUUGGGACUGAGAUACGGACCAGACUCCUACGGGAGGCAGCAGUGGGGAAUAUUGCACAAUGGGCGGAAGCCUGAUGCAGCAACGCCGCGUGCGGGAUGACGGCCUUCGGGUUGUAAACCGCUUUCGCCUGUGACGAAGCGUGAGUGACGGUAAUGGGUAAAGAAGCACCGGCUAACUACGUG
rnacentral:rRNA from 1 species